rnacentral:rRNA from 1 species
CCUACGGGAGGCAGCAGUGAGGAAUAUUGGUCAAUGGACGCAAGUCUGAACCAGCCAUGCCGCGUGCAGGAAGACGGCUCUAUGAGUUGUAAACUGCUUUUGUACGAGGGUAAACGCAGAUACGCGUAUCUGUCUGAAAGUAUCUUACGAAUAAGGAUCGGCUAACUCCGUGCCAGCAGCCGCGGUAAUACGGAGGAUUCAAGCGUUAUCCGGAUUUAUUGGGUUUAAAGGGUGCGUAGGCGGUCGGAUAAGUUAGAGGUGAAAGCCCGAGGCUCAACUUCGGAAUUGCCUUUGAUACUGGUCGGCUAGAGAGCAGUUGCGGUAGGCGGAAUGCAUGGUGUAGCGGUGAAAUGCUUAGAGAUCAUACAGAACACCGAUUGCGAAGGCAGCUUACCAAGCUACUACUGACGUUGAUGCACGAAAGCGUGGGGAGCAAACAGGAUUAGAUACCCGUGUAGUC